rnacentral:rRNA from 1 species
AACGAACGCUGGCGGCAGGCUUAACACAUGCAAGUCGAGCGCCCCGCAAGGGGAGCGGCAGACGGGUGAGUAACGCGUGGGAAUCUACCCAUCUCUAGGGGAUAACACAGAGAAAUUUGUGCUAAUACCCUAUACGUCCUCCGGGAGAAAGAUUUAUCGGGGAUGGAUGAGCCCGCGUUGGAUUAGCUAGUUGGGGGGGUAAUGGCCUACCAAGGCGACGAUCCAUAGCUGGUCUGAGAGGAUGACCAGCCACACUGGGACUGAGACACGGCCCAGACUCCUACGGGAGGCAGCAGUGGGGAAUAUUGGACAAUGGGCGCAAGCCUGAUCCAGCCAUGCCGCGUGAGUGAUGACGGCCUUAGGGUUGUAAAGCUCUUUCACCCACGACGAUAAUGACGGUAGUGGGAGAAGAAGCCCCGGCUAACUUCGUGCCAGCAGCCGCGGUAACAC